rnacentral:lncRNA from 1 species
GUAUUUUUUUCUUUUUUUUUUCUUUUUUUUAAUUAUAAUUUUGUACUGCUGACUCAACUCUGCUCUUUCUCUGGCAGCUUGACCAACACAUCCUUUCAGCAGCAAGAAUGAGUCUUCCUUAUAUGCACGUCCUUGCAAGCAAAUGACAGUGGCUUCUGCCCACAACAGCAAGUGAACAAAAGCACGUUGUUCCAGCAAGUGCUUGACAAGUAGUAAGGGAAACAUCCAGACUUUAUGCAUCAAGGAUGACAGAAAGUGGACACCUGUGGAAGCGAAAUCAGCUCUUCAUCCCAGGUUUGUGGCUUGGCUGUUGAUGAUGGCACUAGAACAGUACACCACUGGCUGGAAGGAGG